UGGGGAAUCUUGGACAAUGGGCGCAAGCCUGAUCCAGCCAUGCCGCGUGAGCGAUGAAGGCCUUAGGGUUGUAAAGCUCUUUCACCGGUGAAGAUAAUGACGGUAGCAGGUAAAGAAACCCCGGCUAACUCCGUGCCAGCAGCCGCGGUAAUACGGAGGGGGGUUAGCGUUGUUCGGAAUUACUGGGCGUAAAGCGCACGUAGGCGGACCAGAAAGUUGGGGGUGAAAUCCCGGGGGCUCAACCCCCGGAACUGCCUCCAAAACUAUUGGUCUAGAGUUCGAGAGAGGUGAGUGGAAUUCCAAGUGUAGAGGUGAAAUUCGUAGAUAUUUGGAGGAACACCAGUGGCGAAGGCGGCUCACUGGCUCGAUACUGACGCUGAGGUGCGAAAGUGUGGGGAGCAAACAGGAUUAGAUACCCUGGGUAGUCCACACCGUAAAACGAUGAAUGCCAGUCGUCGGGUAGCAUGCUAUUCGGUGACACACCUAACGGAUUAAGCAUUCCGCCUGGGGAGUACGGUCGCAAGAUUAAAA
rnacentral:rRNA from 1 species